rnacentral:rRNA from 1 species
CAGCAGCAGCCGCGGUAAUACGAAGGGUGCAAGCGUUACUCGGAAUUACUGGGCGUAAAGCGUGUGUAGGUGGUUGUUUAAGUCUGUCGUGAAAGCCCUGGGCUCAACCUGGGAAUUGCGAUGGAUACUGGGCGACUAGAGUGCGGUAGAGGAUAGUGGAAUUUCCGGUGUAGCAGUGAAAUGCGUAGAGAUCGGAAGGAACAUCUGUGGCGAAGGCGACUAUCUGGGCCAACACUGACACUGAGACACGAAAGCGUGGGGAGCAAACAGGAUUAGAUACCCGCGUAGUCCCUGUCUCUUAUAC